GCAAGGCUGCAACUCUGCUGCAAUUGAGAAGAACAAGAUCUCAGCUUCCACUUUUUCUUUCCCAACUGGAUUUCUCUUAUCCAUCCAACACAAAUGUCUCUCACCUCACCUCUUCUGUAACUCCAUUUAUCCCAAUUCAGAUCCCACAAGCUCAGCUCUCCAUUCCUCCUUGGCUCCUCACCAACGUCCGUCCUCAACCCCCAACUAGUGCUCACUUUCCUUCCUCCAAUUCAAGCCAUGAAAUCCUUUCAAGGUCGAGUUGGUCUUGCAAUUCGUCUACUGUAGUCCUGUCGGCGUUGCCAUUGCCGCUGUCUGCUCCGUCAUAGUGCAGUUUGGUAGCCAAACCUUCAUACAAAAUUAACUAAUUCAGUUUUACUGAGUUACCAAUUAAUUAUAAAAAGUUAAGAACAGUUUUCAAGUGUUAUUUGGAUUUGUUUUCUUCAACAUGUGCAACCAUGAACAGUUUUAUUAGGUUCUACAAUUGUCGUCGUCGGUACAUUUUUUUCCCAUAGUGCAGUUGGUAGCCAAACCUUCAUACAAAGGUAACCAAAUCAGUUUUAUUGGGUUACCAAUUAAUUAUAAAAAAUAAUUAAGAACAGUUUCUAAGUGUUACCUGAAUUUAAUUUCUUCAACAUGUGCAAUCAUAAAACAGUUUGGGUUCUGCAAUGGUCGUCGUCGAUAUUUUUUUUUUUCAUAGUGUAGUUGGUAGACAAACAUUCAUACAAAGGUAACCAAUUCAAUUUUAUUGGAUUACCAAUUGGUAGAAGGCAGCGGUGGAGAAGAUAAAGAGACGGGUGGUUGUGUAGUAGUGAGAUCGGAGGUGAAAAUGAGAAGAGGACUCGGAAUCGAAGAAGAAAAUGAAAGAGAAUAAGAAUAUUAUGAGUAGAAUGAAGAGAGAGAAAGUGAAUAAGUACUUUCUCUCUCUAAAUAGAAUGUCCACUGAAAUCGCCAUUGUCAUUGUUGUUGGUGCUCUGUAAAUUGUAGAGAAAGAAACAGAGAUAGAAGAGAAUGGUAGAGAAUUAGUAGUAGUAGUAGUAGUAGGUGAUGAUGGUAUGUGAAGUCAUUGUUGUUAGUGCUCUGUAAAUUGUAGAGAGAGAAACAGAGGUAGAAGAAAAUAAUAGAGAAUUAGUA
rnacentral:lncRNA from 1 species